UGGGGAAUCUUGCGCAAUGGGCGAAAGCCUGACGCAGCAACGCCGCGUGGGGGAUGACGGCCUUCGGGUUGUAAACCCCUUUCAGUAGGGACGAAAUUGACGGUACCUGCAGAAGAAGCCCCGGCUAACUACGUGCCAGCAGCCGCGGUAACACGUAGGGGGCAAGCGUUGUCCGGAUUUACUGGGCGUAAAGAGCUCGUAGGCGGUUCGACAAGUCGGGUGUGAAAACUCUGGGCUCAACCCAGAGACGCCACCCGAAACUGUCGUGACUAGAGUCCGGUAGAGGAGUGUGGAAUUCCCAGUGUAGCGGUGAAAUGCGCAGAUAUUGGGAGGAACACCAGUGGCGAAGGCGGCACUCUGGGCCGGAACUGACGCUGAGGAGCGAAAGCGUGGGUAGCAAAC
rnacentral:rRNA from 1 species